CUCUCUAAUUCUUAAUUAUCUAUUUUAAAGCUUUAUUUAAAAUAAAAUUUUAUUUUUUAACUGUAAAACAUGCGCGGAGCGUUGCUACAUUGACUGUCUUAUAGCCUAACUCGCAAUGGAGUGCUGCUACUUUUGUCAUAUUUAAAUAAGAAGUUAAGAAAGUUUCUAAAGCGGUAACACAAGGUGGUAAAAGUAAAAAAAAAAAUGAAAGCAAUUAAAGUUAUAUUUAAAGAAAAUGCUGAAAUAGUUAUUGCCAGCAGCAGUAAUUUUUUGGAAUUUUGUGUAGCUGUUCGUGAAACCUUCAAUUUGCCCUUGAUUGAAGAAGUCAAGUGGAAUAGCUGUAAAGUAAAUGCUAGUAGUUUUGCUGCUCUUCUCAACGAACAAAAUUUAGAGUUUACUAUUCAAGCUCCACAACUUGUUGAUAUUUCCAACUCUCAAUCAUCACCGUUAUGCCAAUUUUAAUUUAUUGUUAAUGAUAACGUAGAUUUUGUAGUACCAUCUAAUAAAAUUAAUUGGAACUUUGAAAACCAAUGUAUGGCUGAAGAAUGUCUUGUAAAUGUUGUUUAGCCUUCGGUAAGUCAACUAUAUACACCAUAUAUGGCUGAAGAAUGUCGUGUUAAUGUGUUCAGCCUCCGGUAAGACAAAUAUCUUCAUCAACUUCUUCAUCUUUAUCUCCAAACACACCCAAGACACCACAAAAGAUUUCCACAAUUCCUUUUGAUUCAGAUGAAGUUACUCGCCUGAGGAUUUUUUUGAGUACAUCUUCUUUAAAAUUUUUAAACAAUUUCUUGACAAAUGAUGUAUCGAAAAAGAAGCUGAAAAAUAGUAUUCUUCAGUAUUACCAAGUUGUUCUUCCUUCCGACAAUGACCCAUGGGUUCGGAGAGAGUUUUUUUCUAAACUUAAGUCAACGCUUCUUUUUAAUUUUCCCAACUGCUUGGAACACUGGGUAAGUAUUGUUUUAAAAAUUAAUUAAAUUUUUCAUGACCUUACAAUACUUUUUUUAAUAUGUUUUAUAAUACAUGCAUGUUUUGUUGUGGUUGUAUUGAAUAGGUAUUUGUUUUUAUACCCGUAAGAGUACAUAAAUACCUAUUCCAUAGUUUUGAAAAAAAAAUUCUUCUAGGAUUCACUCCUAAGACAGGUUUCAAACAUAAUUAGGCAACAACGUUGGACUAAAAGUCAUCGUACUUCAAAUGGAACAGCAAUUAGGCAAUUUCAACAGGUUUCAAAACCUAAAAAGUCUCCAUAUAUUAUGGAUUCAAUAUCUAAAGCUGAACCAGUGCUUUCAGAAGAGCAGCUUCUUCUUGAAGUUGAGGUUAUAUUUUUAGUUUAUUUAUUAACUUAAUUUGGACAGCAAUAUGAUUAGCAAUAUUUUAAAUUAGUAAGUGAUUGGGGUUGAUAUUUGACUGGGGCCAGGUUUGAUAAAACAUAGCCAGGGCUGCAUUUAUAUUGAUAAAUCUUAUAAGUAUAUUAUUUUUAGGUAAAAUUUAUGUUGAGCUCCAAAAGACUUCAGGGAAGAAGGACGAGAGGAGGAGCUUGGAGAGGACAUUUGAGCUUGAAAAAGAUCUCUCCUCUAAUACAGCGUACGGACUCUCAGUGGCUGGUAAUGGCUAGUAACCCCUGCAAAUUUUUUUUGUUUAGUUGAGGCAGGGUUUGUAAAAAGCUCUAUUUUUAGCAGGGGCCUGGUCACUUACUACUUGAAAUAUUUUACUAAUUAUUAUACACUUUUUUUUUACUAAUUGUUUUUUUUACAAUCAAAAAUACAUUACAAAUAAAGUUGUUUAAUGUAUAAUAUAUAAAGAAACUUUAUAAAGUGUGUUAUACAAACCUUAGCACCAUAGCAUAAACCAUAGCAUGUUAUUUUAUACAAUUUUAUAAUAAAUAAUUUUUAGUUGGCCAAGGGAUUAUGUGGACCAUUGUUUGUUUUAGAAUUUACAGUAUUUAAAUUUUUAUA